AAAAUGGCUGGAAUGACUGAAGUGCACAAUGGGCAUGCCGCAUGCCAUACAUGCACUGCCUACUCAACCAAGAGGUCCUCCCCCACUAGCUCGCCUGCGUGAACCUGUGGACCGUGAAAAGGUGUGUAUGCGCUUUGGAUGCCCUGUAAACAUCAACGUUACAGAAUACUUAAAAUCUUUCAUUUUUUUUGCUUGA